rnacentral:rRNA from 1 species
CUACGGGUCGCUGCAGUGAGGAAUAUUGCACAAUGGAGGAAACUCUGAUGCAGCAACGCCGCGUGGAGGAUGACGCAUUUCGGUGUGUAAACUCCUUUUAUAUGUCAAGAAAAUGACGGUAGCAUAUGAAUAAGCACCGGCUAACUCCGUGCCAGCAGCCGCGGUAGUACGGAGGGUGCAAGCGUUACUCGGAAUCACUGGGCGUAAAGGACGCGUAGGCGGGAUAUCAAGUCAGGUGUGAAAUCCUACAGCUUAACCGUAGAACUGCACUUGAAACUGGUAACCUAGAGUAUGGGAGGGGGAGAUGGAAUUAGUGGUGUAGGGGUAAAAUCCGUAGAUAUCACUAGGAAUACCUAAAGCGAAGGCGAUCUCCUGGAACAUAACUGACGCUAAGGCGUGAAAGCGUGGGGAGCAAACAGGAUUAGAUACCCUGGUAGUC